rnacentral:rRNA from 1 species
CCAGACUCCUACGGGAGGCAGCAGUGGGGAAUAUUGCACAAUGGGGGAAACCCUGAUGCAGCAACGCCGCGUGGGUGAAGGAGCGUUUCGGCGCGUAAAGCCCUGUCAGCGGGGAAGAAGAAAGACGGUACCCGACCAAGAAGCCCCGGCUAACUACGUGCCAGCAGCCGCGGUAAUACGUAGGGGGCGAGCGUUAUCCGGAAUUACUGGGUGUAAAGGGGGCGUAGACGGCGAGGUAAGCCUGAAGUGGAAGCCCGCGGCCCAACCGCGGAACUGCUUUGGGAACUGUUUUGCUGGAGUAUGGGAGGGGUAAGCGGAAUUCCUGGUGUAGCGGUGAAAUGCGUAGAUAUCACGCAGAACCCCGAUUGCGAAGGCAGCAUACCGGUGCACAACUGACGCUCAGGCACGAAAGCGUGGGUAUCGAACAGGAUUAGAUACCCGAGUA